rnacentral:rRNA from 1 species
CUACGGGACGCUCCAGUAAGGAAUAUUGCGCAAUGGAGGCAACUCUGACGCAGCCAUGCCGCGUGCAGGAAGAAGGCCUUAUGGGUCGUAAACUGCUUUUAUUUAGGAAUAAACCCCCGAACGUGUUCGGGGCUGAAGGUACUAAACGAAUAAGCACCGGCUAACUCCGUGCCAGCAGCCGCGGUAAUACGGAGGGUGCAAGCGUUAUCCGGAUUAUUGGGUUUAAAGGGUGCGCAGGCGGGCUAUUAAGUCAGUGGUGAAAUCCCGGGGCUCAACUCCGGAACUGCCAUUGAUACUGAUAGUCUUGAGUUUGGUUGAAGUGGGCGGAAUGUAGCAUGUAGCGGUGAAAUGCAUAGAUAUGCUACAGAACACCAAUCGCGAAGGCAGCUCACUAAGCCAAAACUGACGCUCAUGCACGAAAGCGUGGGGAUCAAACAGGAUUAGAUACCCCCGUAGUC